GACGAACGCUGGCGGCGUGCCUAAUACAUGCAAGUAGAACGCUGAAGGAGGAGCUUGCUUCUCUGGAUGAGUUGCGAACGGGUGAGUAACGCGUAGGUAACCUGCCUGGUAGCGGGGGAUAACUAUUGGAAACGAUAGCUAAUACCGCAUAAUAUUGAUUAUUGCAUGAUAGUCAAUUAAAAGGUGCAAUUGCAUCACUACCAGAUGGACCUGCGUUGUAUUAGCUAGUUGGUGAGGUAACGGCUCACCAAGGCAACGAUACAUAGCCGACCUGAGAGGGUGAUCGGCCACACUGGGACUGAGACACGGCCCAGACUCCUACGGGAGGCAGCAGUAGGGAAUCUUCGGCAAUGGACGGAAGUCUGACCGAGCAACGCCGCGUGAGUGAAGAAGGUUUUCGGAUCGUAAAGCUCUGUUGUAAGAGAAGAACGAGUGUGAGAGUGGAAAGUUCACACUGAGACG
rnacentral:rRNA from 1 species